UACGUAGGGGCCGAGCGUUGUCCGGAGUUAUUGGGCGUAAAGCGUGCGCAGGCGGUUGUGCAAGACAGAUGUGAAAUCCCCGGGCUUAACCUGGGAAUGGCGAUGGAGACUGCAAGGCUAGAGUUUGGCAGAGGGGGGUAGAAUUCCACGUGUAGCAGUGAAAUGCGUAGAGAUGUGGAGGAACACCGAUGGCGAAGGCAGCCCCCUGGGUCAAGACUGACGCUCAUGCACGAAAGCGUGGGGAGCAAACAGG
rnacentral:rRNA from 1 species